GACGAACGCUGGCGGCGCGCUUAACACAUGCAAGUCGAGCGAGAACCGGGCCUUCGGGCCUGGGGACAGCAGCGAACGGGUGAGUAACACGUGGGUAACCUGCCCUCGACACCGGGAUAGCUCGGGGAAACCCGGAUUAAUACCGGACAGCCCCCGGAGCCUUCGGGCGCCGGGGAAAAGGUGGCUUCGGCUUCCGGUCGAGGAUGGGCCUGCGGCGGAUUAGCUUGUUGGCGGGGUAACGGCCCACCAAGGCGACGAUCCGUAGCUGGUCUGAGAGGACGAUCAGCCACACUGGGACUGAGACACGGCCCAGACUCCUACGGGAGGCAGCAGUGGGGAAUCUUGCGCAAUGGGCGAAAGCCUGACGCAGCGACGCCGCGUGCGGGAAGAAGGCCUUCGGGUUGUAAACCGCUUUCAGGAGGGACGAAGCCACUCGGGUUAAUAGCCCAGAGGGUGACGGUACCUCCAGAAGAAGCCCCGGCUAACUACGUGCCAGCCGCCGCAGUAAUAC
rnacentral:rRNA from 1 species